rnacentral:rRNA from 1 species
GAUGAACGCUGGCGGCGUGCCUAAUACAUGCAAGUCGAGCGAACGGACGAGAAGCUUGCUUCUCUGAUGUUAGCGGCGGACGGGUGAGUAACACGUGGAUAACCUACCUAUAAGGCUGGGAUAACUUCGGGAAACCGGAGCUAAUGCCGGAUAAUAUUUUGAACCGCAUGGUUCAAAAGUGAAAGACGGUCUUGCUGUCACUUAUAGAUGGAUCCGCGCUGCAUUAGCUAGUUGGUAAGGUAACGGCUUACCAAGGCAACGAUGCAUAGCCGACCUGAGAGGGUGAUCGGCCACACUGGAACUGAGACACGGUCCAGACUCCUACGGGAGGCAGCAGUAGGGAAUCUUCCGCAAUGGGCGAAAGCCUGACGGAGCAACGCCGCGUGAGUGAUGAAGGUCUUCGGAUCGUAAAACUCUGUUAUUAGGGAAGAACAUAUGUGUAAGUAACUGUGCACAUCUUGACGGUACCUAAUCAGAAAGCCACGGCUAACUACGUG